GAGCGGAGAUGAGGUGCUUGCACCUUAUCUUAGCGGCGGACGGGUGAGUAAUGCUUAGGAAUCUGCCUAUUAGUGGGGGACAACAUUCCGAAAGGAAUGCUAAUACCGCAUACGUCCUACGGGAGAAAGCAGGGGAUCUUCGGACCUUGCGCUAAUAGAUGAGCCUAAGUCGGAUUAGCUAGUUGGUGGGGUAAAGGCCUACCAAGGCGACGAUCUGUAGCGGGUCUGAGAGGAUGAUCCGCCACACUGGGACUGAGACACGGCCCAGACUCCUACGGGAGGCAGCAGUGGGGAAUAUUGGACAAUGGGGGGAACCCUGAUCCAGCCAUGCCGCGUGUGUGAAGAAGGCCUUAUGGUUGUAAAGCACUUUAAGCGAGGAGGAGGCUACUGAGACUAAUACUCUUGGAUAGUGGACGUUACUCGCAGAAUAAGCACCGGCUAACUCUGUGCCAGCAGCCGCGGUAAUACAGAGGGUGCGAGCGUUAAUCGGAUUUACUGGGCGUAAAGCGUGCGUAGGCGGCUUUUUAAGUCGGAUGUGAAAUCCCCGAGCUUAACUUGGGAAUUGCAUUCGAUACUGGGAAGCUAGAGUAUGGGAGAGGAUGGUAGAAUUCCAGGUGUAGCGGUGAAAUGCGUAGAGAUCUGGAGGAAUACCGAUGGCGAAGGCAGCCAUCUGGCCUAAUACUGACGCUGAGGUACGAAA
rnacentral:rRNA from 1 species